AUGCCUGGGAAUAUGCCCUGAUGUGGGGGAUAACCAUUGGAAACGAUGGCUAAUACCGCAUAAUCUCUUCGGAGCAAAGAGGGGGACCUUCGGGCCUCUCGCGUCAGGAUUAGCCCAGGUGAGAUUAGCUAGUUGGUGAGGUAAGAGCUCACCAAGGCGACGAUCUCUAGCUGGUCUGAGAGGAUGAUCAGCCACAAUGGAACUGAGACACGGUCCAGACUCCUACGGGAGGCAGCAGUGGGGAAUAUUGCACAAUGGGGGAAACCCUGAUGCAGCCAUGCCGCGUGUGUGAAGAAGGCCUUCGGGUUGUAAAGCACUUUCAGUUGUGAGGAAGGCGUAUACGUUAAUAGCGUAUGUGUUUGACGUUAGCAACAGAAGAAGCACCGGCUAACUCCGUGCCAGCAGCCGCGGUAAUACGGAGGGUGCGAGCGUUAAUCGGAAUUACUGGGCGUAAAGCGCAUGCAGGCGGCUUGUUAAGCCAGAUGUGAAAGCCCGGGGCUCAACCUCGGAAUAGCAUUUGGAACUGGCAGGCUAGAGUCUUGUAGAGGGGGGUAGAAUUUCAGGUGUAGCGGUGAAAUGCGUAGAGAUCUGAAGGAAUACCGGUGGCGAAGGCGGCCCCCUGGACAAAGACUGACGCUCAGAUGCGAAAGCGUGGGGAGCAAACAGGAUUAGAUACCCUGGUAGUCCACGCCGUAAACGA
rnacentral:rRNA from 1 species